UGGGGAAUUUUGGACAAUGGGGGCAACCCUGAUCCAGCCAUUCCGCGUGAGUGAAGAAGGCCUUCGGGUUGUAAAGCUCUUUUGUCCGGAACGAAACGGUUGUGGUGAACAGCCACGACUACUGACGGUACCGGAAGAAUAAGCACCGGCUAACUACGUGCCAGCAGCCGCGGUAAUACGUAGGGUGCGAGCGUUAAUCGGAAUUACUGGGCGUAAAGCGUGCGCAGGCGGUUUUGUAAGCCAGAUGUGAAAGCCCCGGGCUUAACCUGGGAAUGGCAUUUGGGACUGCAAGGCUUGAGUGCGGCAGAGGAGACUGGAAUUCCUGGUGUAGCAGUGAAAUGCGUAGAUAUCAGGAGGAAUACCGAUGGCGAAGGCAGGUCUCUGGGCUGACACUGACGCUCAUGCACGAAAGCGUGGGGAGCAAACAG
rnacentral:rRNA from 1 species